GGUAUCUUUAAAACAAGAGUGAAUAGGCACCUUCUAGGUUAACGCGUCCCAUCUUAGGCCACAUCAUCACUUUCCAUCGGGUGUGAUUGUGGUAAAGCACUUCUCUAUAA